GGAUGGUAUGGGCGGAGCCUGACCAGCCAUGCCGCGUGCAGGAAGACGGCCUUAUGGGUUGUAAACUGCUUUUGUCAGGGAAUAAACCCUCGUUCGUGAACGAGGCUGAAGGUACCUGAAGAAUAAGCAUCGGCUAACUCCAUGCCAGCAGCCGCGGUAAUAA
rnacentral:rRNA from 1 species